UCACAUUUACUGUACCAUGCUUAUAAUACCUUUUUAAUGUAAAUCAAAAAAAAAAAAAUUCCCAUCUUGCAGUUCAUUCAUAUUAGUUUAUAUCUUAAAUAUUUUGCUCACAGAUCACUAUUAACGUUCUGUAUAUAAUUCUGUUUUAUUUUCUCUCCCCUUGUAUUUAUUUUUUAGCUGAAAAGACGUAAAGGAAGCAGUCACCCCAGUCGUGUUUGUGAAGAGGUAUUCCUUCAGAAAUGGAGAAGACAGAAAGCUGCAGAGGCAGGAUUGUUUGCAGAUAAUGCUGCUCUUCUUUUUCAGAAGUUUUUGGUGAGCCAACCCUCACACACCUUCCUAAAAACUAAAAGAGCUAUUACUGAGUCUCAGCGAAUCUUGCCAUGAUCAGCUCUUCCCAGAAGAUAAGGAAGACCAAGGAAAUGAUUUGCUCAGGAUGAGGAAUGAAGAAGGCCAUCUUGUGCUCAAGCAAACAGAAGUCCUCUGAUGAUCUCAUCAGCCAAAUGAGGGGUUUUGACCAAGUGAUGCUCUUGAAAGGAGGGAAAGAAGAGGAAUUGAAUUCAGAGAAAAAGCUUCUCUAAAGGUCUUAAAGCAGCUUGAAGAAUGGU